rnacentral:rRNA from 1 species
CUUGUGCCAGCAGCCGCGGUAAUACGAAGGGGGCUAGCGUUGUUCGGAUUUACUGGGCGUAAAGCGCACGUAGGCGGACUAUUAAGUCAGGGGUGAAAUCCCGGGGUCAACCCCGGAACUGCCUUUGAUACCGGUAGUCUCGAGUCCGGAAGAGGUGAGUGGAAUUCCGAGUGUAGAGGUGAAAUUCGUAGAUAUUCGGAGGACACCAGUGGCGAAGGCGGCUCACUGGUCCGGUACUGACGCUGAGGUGCGAAAGCGUGGGGA